AUACGGAGGGUGCAAGCGUUAUCCGGAUUUAUUGGGUUUAAAGGGUCCGUAGGCGGAUCUGUAAGUCAGUGGUGAAAUCUCACAGCUUAACUGUGAAACUGCCAUUGAUACUGCAGGUCUUGAGUAAAUUUGAAGUGGCUGGAAUAAGUAGUGUAGCGGUGAAAUGCAUAGAUAUUACUUAGAACACCAAUUGCGAAGGCAGGUCACUAAGAUUUAACUGACGCUGAGGGACGAAAGCGUGGGGAGCGAACAGGAUUAGAUACCCUGGUAGUCCACGCCGUAAACGAUGCUAACUCGUUUUUGGGUUUUCGGAUUCAGAGACUAAGCGAAAGUGAUAAGUUAGCCACCUGGGGAGUACGUUCGCAAGAAUGAA
rnacentral:rRNA from 1 species